rnacentral:lncRNA from 1 species
AAGUUGAAGCAGUAUGGAUCAGAUCUUGAUAAUCUGAAAUAAAAGUUAAUUAAACUAAAUAAAUAAAAAUAAAAGUAAAAUAAUUUAUAAUAUCAAAAAGGUGAUAUUUUACAAAAUUAAUUUUGAUGCCAAAAACUAUAAAUCAUUGUGAGCUUUUAAAUGCAUAGAAAAAAUGUAAGACUAUUCCAUGAGGUUACAAAAUGAAAAGUUGAAUUUAGCAUUCUAUUCGCUUAAUUUUUGCAAUAUAUCAAAAAUAUUAUUCUAAAAUCAAAUAUCUUUUAAAUAGUUCAAAAUCUCCUCCAUUUUUAUGUAUUUUAAAGAUGUUCAUUGUAAAUUCAAUUUUACUGUAAUUUUAAGAGAAAAUUUCAUAUAUACCCCCAAAUAUUUUGAAAUAUUAAGAAUAUCCCUACAUUCUUAAUAAUAGCAAAUGUACCCCUCAUUGUGAUAUCCUAACAUAUACAAUGGGUACAUUUCUUAUUAUCAAGAAUGUAGGGAUGUACUAAAUAUUUCAAGAUAUUUAAGGGGUGUAUUUGAAAAAAAGUCUAUAUUUUAUAUUUUUUAACUCAAUAUUACAAAUAAUACAAGAUAUGCAUCAUGUUAUGAUUUGGAAUAUGUCUCUUAAAUCAAAGAAGCACAUGAUGACUAUUAAAAUUAUAAAUAAGACCAAUAAUCAAUAAUGGUCAAUAAAAAUGUAGUUUUUGCUGAUUUAGUUGUAUUUUUUUGUAUUUAUUUAUCAUCUAUUUAUUUUAAUGUAAAAAAAUAUAUCAAAAAAUAUAUAUUUUUAAAAAAAAGUAAAAAGAAAAAAUUCUUUAUUGCUGUUAGUUUUUUGCAAUAUUAUAAGCUUCAAAGUCUAAUAAAAUCUUAAAACAUAAGAAUACAAAAUCACAAUUCAUUCUUUUUGUAUUCUUACUUGAUAUAAAACAAAAAAUGUGGAUUGUAUGUAAAUGCUUACUAAAAUGGUAGCUUACUCAUGAAGCAUGAAUGCAAAUAAAUUAACAAAUAAAUAAGGUGUUUGCUAAUUAAUUGUCCUAAAUCUGAGAUAACAUUCUACUAUCUUGGCCCUGAUAGUUCAAGAGCUUGCAUGAAAGAAGAAUUAGAAUCUAAAUUCCAUCCCACAGGAAGAUGAGGCAUGUCUAAUGCUUCUUGGUUUCGUUGAACUUCUCUUUGCUCCCACUCUGCCCAUCGCUCUUCUAAGCCUUCUCCUUCUAGCAUAUUUACUACUUCACUCAUUUUUGGUCGAGAUGUAGGAUUAUUCUCCGUACACAACAAUGCAACCUAUUCAUUCAAACAAAAUUAGGUAUCACAAACUUAACAGAACAUUUUAAUAUAUUAGAUUUUGUUAAUAAGAUUAAAAAUGUUGAAAACAAAUUAAUCAAUAUAAAUAUAUUAAAUAAUUACUUUAUAGAUUAGUUUAAUGUAAUUACAAAUAUUAAUAAUAAUAACUAUAGAUUUCAUAUAAACUAUUCAAAAUUCUCUACAAUAAAAAUCAUGUAUUAUUUAUUAAUUUAUAAAAAAGUCUUAUAAAUUAAUAAAAUAAUUGAAAUUUUAUGGAGUUAAGAACUCACCUUUAGCAACUCUUUAAUAUCAUUCAUGUUGUACUCUUUUAAGUGAGGAUCUAUCAUUUUCUCCACAUUAUUUUCUUUUUCCAAUUUUCGCACCUACACAAUAGAAAGAUAAAAAGGGAAAAAACAAGUAAAAGUUAAUAUAAAACAAAACGUCUUAAGUGAUUUCUUUUCUCAAUUUAAAUUUUAAAAAUUAAAAAUUUUGAUAACUUUAAGAUUGUAAAUUCUUAAUUUUUUUGACGUAAGAAGCAAUAAAGAAAGGCAACACAAGAGAAAAGGUUAAGAAACUUACCCAAUCCAAAAGCAUCACAUCAUCAUCUGCCAAGCGAGAUAAGUUUAGAGCACUUUGUCCAGUAAUUAAUUGUAGCAAUGUAAUUCCAUACCCAUAUACAUCUGUUUUUUCUGAUGACUUUCCACUUGACAUGUACUCCGGAGCAAUAUGGCCAAUUGUUCCUCGAAUUGCUGUAGUAACAUGUGUAUUUUUAAAAUCAAUAGGCUUUGCCAAGCCGAAAUCUCCGACCACAGCUUCAAAUUCAUCAUCCAAAAGAAUAUUGUCAGCUUUGACAUCACGAUGAAUAAUCUUAGGAUUACAUUGUUCAUGCAAAUAUGCAAGACCUUUAGCUGCUCCUAGAGCAAUACGUUUCCGCAUUUGACAAGUCAUAGCAGGUGCUCCAUGGUCAGUUUCUGCAACCAUUACAAAGAAAAACAAAACAAAAAAAUAAAUUAGUUAAGUAAUGUUGAAAAUUUUACCUGUUUAUAUUCUUAAAUAAUAAUGCUAAAUUGUUACUAAAAAUUGAUCUUACAAUAAGAUCCACAAAGCACAUGUUUAAAAUAAUAAAUUCUAUUAUUCCAAAAAUUUAUUGCUAAUCCAAACUAACACAACGUAAGAAUUUUUAUUGGUAUAAAUUAUUAUUUUACAUAACACUAUGUAGAAAUUUUAAAAUAUUAGAUUAACACAAGAAGGUUUUUCUUGGUCAAAGAAAAUACUUUUUAAUUGAAAAGAAACACUUCUGUUUGCCAUAUAAGGAUAUACAAGUAAUCGCUCUGUAGGAGUUGUGCACAAGCCAUAUAGUCGCAAUAAGUUUCGAUGUGAUGCCAUGCUUAUAAUUUCAACCUAAAGAACCAUCCAACAAGUAUUAAAUUAGUUAAUCUAAGUUAAGACAAAACUUUACAUUUACAUAACUAAAUUUACAAGAAUCACAUUUCAUAAUAUAUGAUAACCAUUUAUAAAGCUAACUAGAGUAAUACAUCCAAAUAAAUAUUUAAUUACAAAAUCUUUUUUAAAUAUAUUAUUUUAUCAACCUAUAAGUAGAAGUGUAUAGCUAUUUUGAAGUAUUAUUAACAAGUAUAUGUUUUUCUUCAAACUACUAAAUCACAUAUGAAUGCUAAGGUAUAAAAAAAAAUAUCCAUGUGUACAAUAUUUAUAUUAAUCAAUCAUCUAUUAAUUAAAAUAAAAAAGUAAAUACAUCUAUUUAAAUAAGAUAAAAAUCUAAUCUUAUUGUAAAUAGGCAAGACAAUGUUUACCUCAGUUUGAAAUUGUUUUUCAUUUCCAAUGCUACGACUUUCCAAUUUAAGACGCUUGAUUGCCAAUUGAGUUCCAUCAGAUAAUACUCCCUUGUAUACAAUACCAAAUCCACCACGUCCUAUUUCAUUCCUACUACUAAAAUUCUCAGUUGCAUUUUUUAGUUGUGAAAGAGUAAAGCGUGUCAAUUGUCCUAAGUUUACUCGAGUAUCUUCUUCUGCUGUAAUUGCCAAAUCACACCACAUCAAUUAGUUCUUAUAUAUAUUACACUUUAGAAAUCUAUACAUGUCACAUACAAACAAAAACUAUACAUACUAAUAUUAACAUCUAAAUGUUAAUAAGAUUUAAAACUAAAUGUAAGACUUCAUGUAACAUUUAUUUCUAUAGUUUUUAAAUAUAUUUUAAGUUUUUAGUUUAUUUUAUAAAAAAAAAUAUUAGUUUGAAGGUCUUAUUUCAAUUAAUCUCAAAUAAAUACACAAACACACAUAUUUGUAUGCGAAGAAAGUCUUACCAUUUAAAGAUAACACAUAAUAAUAUUCUUAUUGGUUUUAUUUAUAAUAAGUAAAAUUAUUAAUAAAUCUACUUACUUUUAUAAUAAUUUAAAUUUUAUUACUAUGUCUUAGAUAAUUCAAUGAUUUUUGUGAUUAAAAUUUCUAUUUAAGACCUCACCAGGCACAUCAAAGAAGGCAUCACUAGGAUGGCGUCGCUUGCACCAAAAGCACAAACCACCAACACUUGCAAGAAACACAAUACCUCCAAGUGCUCCUCCUAUUAUAGGUCCUACAAUCAUAAAAGUUCCACACAUUUAAUAUUAUUGAAUAAUAAUCACAUAGUCCAUAUGAUUUUCAAAUUAAAAAUAACCAAUUCACAUUACAAAUGAAAUUGAAUAAGUAAAAAUAACAACAUCUAUAUAUAUAUAUAUAUAUAUAUAUACACAUAUAUAUACAUAUAUAUAUAUAUAUAGAAAGAGAGAGAGAAAUACCUAUUGAAAUUGAUGUUGAACUUGAACGUGGUGGAUCACCAACACAUUGAUUUGCAAUUUGAUCUCCACAUAACAAAGGAUUCCCUGCAAAACUUUACAUAAAAAAAUGCCAUAAAGAUGUAAGAAUAAACACCAAAAUUAUACUUAUAUUCCAAAUUAUUAAAAAUUCAACUCAGAUAACAAGUCACAAUCAAGAAGUUUAGUGUACAUUUAAGAUGCAAGUUUUAUUAUAAUUUAGUAUAAUUAUUAAAAUAUUUGUAAAGUUAUAAUCCUUACUUGGAUGAAGAAGCAGUUCCAAAUACACCUGAAAUUGGAAUUCUCCCUGAUAGAUUAUUAAAUUCUAAGUGUCUGCAAAGAACCAUAGAAUACCACUAAUUAUCAAAACCUAUUUGUAUUACUUUAAAAUCUAGAUUGCAUUUUUAAUCAAAUAGAAAAAAGAAUCUAAUCAAGAUACUACUUGUACAAAAUUAGAAUCAUAUUAAUAUAAAUCUUCUUAACAUAUUUUAAAUUCCAAAUCUAAUAAUUAUAAAUUUAUUUAUUUAUGUUUUAUGUAUAGUUUUACUUCUAUACUUAAUUGAUUAUUCUCUAAUCUAUUUUUUUAUAAAAUAACAUAUCUUAACAUUCCACUUUAAUUAAAUUUGAAAAGUCUUAAACAUAAAAGUUUAGUUAAAUGCACUUACAUAUCACGAAGAUUAGGAAGGGCAGCAAGUUCUAUUGGAAUAGAUCCUGAAAGGUGAUUAUUGUUCAAUUUACUACACAAACAUCACCACCAAAGUAAAAAAUCAAUUAGAAACUAUGUCCAAAAAUGAAGUACUUGGUUAUUUUUUACUUAAAAAAAUUAUAACUAUAGUGAUACCUAUCUAUUACAAAUCAUUAAAAAACUACAUUGACCAAGUUUUAUACAUGUACUCUUUGGUUCCAAGCUAAAGAAAACAUUAUACUAGUUAAUUAAAUAUAUAUAUGUUAAAAUAGCUUCUUAAAAAUAUAAAUAAAAUAAAUUAGUUUAAAGAGAAAUCAAACUUACAGAACGUUUAAUUUAGUGAGAUUGCCCAAAGUACUUGGAAUGGAUCCAGAAAGAUAAUUAUUGGAAAGGUCUAAAAAGAUAAGUUCUGAAAGGUCCCCCAAUGCUUCAGGUAUACUUCCAUUGAAGUGAUUAUCAGAAAGAAUCCUUCAAAAAAAAUAUAUAUAUAAUUUUAAUCUUAAAACAAAAUACAUAUAUACAUAUGAUAUAAUAUUUUAUGAUAAAUAUUUAAAUUAAUGCUUUAAAAUAAUAUUCAUAAAAACACACUUCCAACAAUGGAUUCAAAUAUAAGUAAAAGUAAUGUAUAUAAAUAAAUAAUAUACAUGCCAAAUUUUAUGUCUAAAUAAGUCGCAAUCUCUUUUGCAAUAAAGGAUCAAGAACUUGGAAAAUUGCAUUAUAAAAUUCACUCCUACAAGCUUACAUUUUAACACAAGCAAAUUUUGAUACUUACAAUGAAUUCAAUCUUUUGAUUUGUCCAAAUUCAGGUGUCAAUGUCCCUGUCAAAUUAGAACUUCCAAGACCUCUACAAUAAAAAUCACAAAGGUGUUAAUUAGAUACUUUUAAACCAUUUUAAAAGUAGAUAAAUUAAUCAAAGAAUUCAAGAAUUCAAAAAAACACAACAAAAUAAUCAAUUCUGUGAUUUUAAUUUUUAAAUCUAAUACUAUUCAAUUAAGUAAAUUCUACAUUUAUUAACAUAAAUAAGUUUUACAUAAAUAUUUCAAAAAAAUCAAAGUACAUAUAUUUGACAAGAGUAUAUCAAGUGUAUAGCCUCACAUUCGUAUCACAAAUCCAUCUGGAUCACAAGAAACUUGGUCCCAUGGAUUUGUAUUGAAACAGGGAUCACUUCCUGACCAAGUUCUUAGCUUAUCAUUUGGAUAUUCCAAUUGUGCUUUCCAAUCAAUCAAUAUUUUUCCUACAAUAACAUUUACAAGUUGUCAAAUCAUAUGCAUUAAAAUAUUUUGUCUUUUAUUCUAAUAAAAACAUAAACCUAAAAUACAACAUGACAAAUCAUAAUAUCAAUCAAUUAAUAACCAACAAAAAAAACACCACUAAACUCAAGUUGCAUUUUAUACUAUAUUAUAAUUCAAACUUGCAUACUUCCAAAAAAAAUACAAUAAAACAAAACAAGAUCCCAUUUAUAUAGGCAAAAUCUUCUAAUAAAGUAAAUAAAUAAGAUACUAAAAAAGUUACAACUUUUUGUGUAUUUGCUCAUUUCUACCGCAAAAGAAUAAUCAACAUUUUAAAAUAUCAAGGUCUAAUUCAAAACACUAUGCUACCAAAUUGAUAUCACAAUUGACCAAAAUCUUGCCUUGUAUAAACAACCACUCAAAACCAAUAUAUUGAGGCCCAAGGAACUAACUAUGGCAUAUGUUCAUCACAAGCCCUGAACUUGGGAUGUAAAUCAACUCAAAGCCAUCUCUGAUGAAGAUUCAGAAGAUGCACUCUGUUAGCCACAAGUCCCGUUGCAUUCAAUCAGGCUCUGCUGGAAUUGUCAUCCCCUAUCACUAGAAAAGCUUUCACUCUGAAGCCAUCAUUUGAUGCAUCUGGGUGUGAUGUGAGUAUGUAUAUAAACAUGUAUAUAAACACGCACAGCCAUGGCUCCAACGUGGAUGACCUGGUACUGUGGUCGAUCGAUUAGGGCUAAGGUCUGUGACACCUCAUCCCACCACCACCACCACAGAAAGGACAGGAAGCCCUACCACCACGAUACCCCCCCCCCCUCCCCAAUACAUACAUCCUCAUGGCUUGACUAUGGCUUGCCCGCUGCACCACGCCGACGGUCAUGGGGCUCUCUCCCUCACCACGUAUCCCUCCCCACCCUACCCAUGACCACGACCAUUCCAGCAUCCCAAAUCACCGACCUUGCAGCAGCAGCAGCAGCCUCGUGAAACUACUACUACCCCCGAGAGCCUACGAAGAUUUCGUUCCUAUUCGACCCUCCUCGCUGCCACCGUUCUAUUCCUUCCUUCCUUCCUUCCUUGUCUCCCACUCCUACUACUACUUGCAUCAGCUUACCACAAGUUCGUCCUAGGCAACCAUGUACGCAUGCACCUACCUCACACAUGACCUUUACAAAUUCAACCCAUGGAGAAACAGCGAACCUUCUUCCACAGUCGCGCGAACUCCAUUCGACAAGCACAGCAGUAGCAAACACCAGCACUGCAAGCCCUGGCGAUGAAGAGACUGCAUCCUUUACUCCAGCCACCACACCCCAACCCCGCCUCCUCCUUCCCCGACCAAUACCGCUAACGGCACUUCUCCAGCUUCGUCACUCCACUUCAUUCACCCGCAUGCUCUAGUCUUCUCUUUGCCCACACCUCCGACACCACCACACAACAGCACCGCCGAUCCCUACCCCAACCAAACAAAGUUCUCGCAAAGCACCGACCUCCGUCCGCAUCCCGUAAGAAUCCUUCUCCACUUCCUCGAGAUCCUCAAUCUCCGCAAAAAUAGAAACCCUCGGCUAACGCUCUUAGCUUCCACCAGGUGCCGAUCGACGACCACUCGAAACCGAUUAAACUAUUCCAACCUGUGUCCGAACGAACAUGCGGAAUGAGUUUCGACCACAGUUCAACGCAAAUGCAGCGUCAUCAGUCCAGCACGGCAACAAGGAACGUGCAAGCCCUCCAUUCAGAAACAGUACCGACAGCUCUACGCGGGGAAACGAAUCUGCUUACCCCUUCUCUCUGACACUGCAACUGUACUCAAAUCCUUCCUUCCCCGAAGCAUGUCGCCUCUUCUGUCAUCCAAAAUGGUGUCCUCCCUCGUUGUUUCCGUUUCUAGAUGCUUCACCUUGGUUACUUUCGCUUCAUUGGCCUGAUUAUGACCUAAGGAUGCGUCGCCGCCGAGGGCUGCCUACGACGUCGACCAUUUCCGCUCCACUCCCGAGAUAAUGUGUAUCAUGUGUGUCCAUCUGUCUCUCUCGAUCUGGUUAACUGCCAGCUCUAUGCCCUUCUAGGCCUAAAUUAGAAAGCUUGAAGUUUUCCAAUUACUUUAAAAAUGACGGAUCGAAUUGAAUCAAAGCGCUGGUCAACGGAUAUUUUCAAUAUUUUUCAACAGACCAUCCAAAUUGGGUUUCGCAUGUUCGAUACUCUAUGCUGCGAAUUAGGGACCUAGUGACAAUUAGGGCUUGCACCUGUUUAUUUGUGGGAGGUGUUCGAUAUUAAUCGUGUGCAUGAGCUGGUGAAGGCACGGUCACUGGGUCAGGGUUAGGAUUAGAAUGGUGAAUGAGAGUGUGAAUUGAUUGCAAAUGCAGCCCAGCGGUGGGAUUGGAUUUUUCGAUGGGGUUAGAAGGGCAGCUCAGCCCCAGUUCAAGGGGGCUGAGUCCAACAUCUGUGCAAGAACUUUCGUCGACAUUAUAAUUUUUUUAUUUUUAUCUUAGUUCACUUUAUCCAAAUGCAGGAUGUGCACUCAUGACACACAGAGGUGGGGUAACUCUUGGAAUGGAUGCUCUGCUUAGUGUUCCCCUACUCUUGUGUGUGACCUGAUUUAUGUAUAUAUUUAUUUAUAUAGAUCACUAACAAAAACUUGUAUUUUUAAGCAUGGUCUUAUCACUUGAAAUUUGAAUUUAUUUUUUUAGAAAUAAUUCAUGUGAUCAAAAUUUAAUACUUUAAUUAACAGAUUGUAAACAAAAUAUAAGGUGAUAAGAUAACAUUGGAUUCUUAUGUUGUCAAAGAAGUCAAGAAAUGGUGACAAUCUAUACUUUACAAAAUCACAGUAAAAGGAGUUUUACUUUUAGCGGACAAAGUGAGAAGCCGCAACUUUCAUAGGUUGUGAUUGGUAGAAAUAAGAAAGUCUUUUUUGAUUUGCGUUACACUUCCGAAGAAUAAAAAAUUUGUGAAAAGAAAAAAAAUAAAAUGAAGUAGAAUCUGAUUUUCACAACAUUUUUUUUUUCCUCCAAUCACUGAGAAAAAGCCUAGUAAUAAUUUUCCCAAAAAUUUAAGAAGAUGUAUCAAGAGAACUAAAAAUACCAAAUUUAAAUAAUUCUUUUCGAAAUUUAAAUAAUUCUUUCUGAACUACCAUAUUCUAUUAUAGCUAAAAAAUAAAAAUAAUCCAUAUAGUGUACCUUUUUUCAAUUCAUAUCAUCUCUAAAAACUAAGGCUUUUGGUGUACAAAUUUUCUUUUUUAAUUGAAAGACCACCUGGCAAAGCUAAUGAGGAACCCAGAGAAGAAGGGAACAGACAGAGACGAGUAAGAUGGGGAUACGUGGAUGAAUAAAUGUGUUCCGAUGCCAUCGUCAUCCACCAGGACCUACCAAGCAGUGUUUUAUCAUCCAUCCAUCCCAGCCUCAUAGAAGCACCACUGCCAACACUGAGCCUCUCUCUCACCGCUGGACUCUCUGCUACCGCCAUUCUCCACCUGUACUAAACAUAUUCCACGUGGUGCAAAACUCGCUCCCACCAAGCCGCCAUAGUCAUCGAAGUUGGUGUCCAUGCGAGUAAAACGUGCGCGCGCAUUUCUAGACAAGGGUUUGCGAAGUUGCAGAAGGUCAUGAUUUUGCCAUCGUUGACGAGUUGGGGAGUUUUGUGGUUCGGUGCUGGCUGUGAGGUGCGAGAUCGGCAGUCUAACGACAUCUCAGGGUUGGCAAGUGUCUGAGGUCAACAACAUUGCCUACGAUCGCCAUUGAGGAACGCUUCGCUCACGUGUACCUAUCGCUCACCUACAUAAUUUGUAACGCCUGUGUCCGGCGAUGACUUGAAAGACCCUAACCCUGGACACAGAAGGCAGGUGUCGGAUUGUUUUGGCGUGAUGGCAAGUUUCUCAAUGAUGUGUCUACGCGGUCAGUUGCUAGGGUUCCCGCAAGGAUGUUUCCUGCGUGAUAAUAUCUCCCAGCAAUUUCUCUGUGAGGGCUCAACGCGGUCGCCGGUUUUUGUUACAGAAUCUCCGGGUAGUGAGAAGAGGAUCUGAUCUUGUUGGGUUCUUCGAAUAGCUAAGUGGUGGAUUGUUCGAGGAGAUAAUGGAGUUGCUUGGUGCACCGGAUUGACAGAGAUGUACAAAAACGUUUUGCAACUAUCAAACUUUUUUUCUUCGAUAUUUUGCAGUAUUGAUGUGUUGAAUGAAGAUUGAAGCAUGCAUGGUUUACCAUUGCUCCAGCUAAUAACAUGAAUACAUGAGUUCGUUAAUAACAAUUGUACUCAAGAAACUAUGCAAAUGACACUAUGUUGCAUUCUUAGACUUUGCGUUUGUGUAUUUAACUCCAUUAUAAAAAAUUCAUAGAACAAGAUUUUAGAACACAUGUAAAAGAUUCAAACAUCUUCAUAGUGAUUUAUAGUUGAUAACCUGCUUGUAC